UACAGAGGGUGCGAGCGUUAAUCGGAAUUACUGGGCGUAAAGCGUGCGUAGACGGUUAUUUAAGUCGGGUGUGAAAGCCCCGGGCUCAACCUGGGAAUUGCAUUCGAGACUGAAUAGCUAGGGUACGGUAGAGGGAAGCGGAAUUUCCGGUGUAGCGGUGAAAUGCGUAGAUAUCGGAAGGAACAUCAGUGGCGAAAGCGGCUUCCUGGACCAGUACCGACGUCAGGCACGAAAGCGUGGGGAGCAAACAGGAAUUGAGAAACCCCGUAGGUACGCAAG
rnacentral:rRNA from 1 species